GCAAAGUUGGCAGAAUUAUGUGAAUAAUUUAGGAUUAUUUUAUAAGACUAGUGUGUAGUCUUACUUUGUA
rnacentral:tRNA from 1 species